CCAGCAGCCGCGGUAAUACGUAGGUGGCAAGCGUUAUCCGGAUUUAUUGGGCGUAAAGCGAGCGCAGGCGGUCUUUUAAGUCUAAUGUGAAAGCCUUCGGCUCAACCGAAGAAGUGCAUUGGAAACUGGGAGACUUGAGUGCAGAAGAGGACAGUGGAACUCCAUGUGUAGCGGUGAAAUGCGUAGAUAUAUGGAAGAACACCAGUGGCGAAGGCGGCUGUCUGGUCUGUAACUGACGCUGAGGCUCGAAAGCAUGGGUAGCGAACAGGAUUAGAUACCCUGGUAGUCCAUGCCGUAAACGAUGAUUACUAAGUGUUGGAGGGUUUCCGCCCUUCAGUGCUGCAGCUAACGCAUUAAGUAAUCCGCCUGGGGAGUACGACCGCAAGGUUGAAACUCAAAAGAAUUGACGGGGGCCCGCACAAGCGGUGGAGCAUGUGGUUUAAUUCGAAGCUACGCGAAGAACCUUACCAGGUCUUGACAUCUUCUGCCAACCUAAGAGAUUAGGCGUUCCCUUCGGGGACAGAAUGACAGGUGGUGCAUGGUUGUCGUCAGCUCGUGUCGUGAGAUGUUGGGUUAAGUCCCGCAACGAGCGCAACCCUUAUUACUAGUUGCCAGCAUUCAGUUGGGCACUCUAGUGAGACUGCCGGUGACAAACCGGAGGAAGGUGGGGACGACGUCAAAUCAUCAUGCCCCUUAUGACCUGGGCUACACACGUGCUACAAUGGAUGGUACAACGAGUCGCGAAACCGCGAGGUUUAGCUAAUCUCUUAAAACCAUUCUCAGUUCGGACUGUAGGCUGCAACUCGCCUACACGAAGUCGGAAUCGCUAGUAAUCGCGGAUCAGCAUGCCGCGGUGAAUACGUUCCCGGGCCUUGUACACACCGCCCGUCACACCAUGAGAGUUUGUAACACCCAAAGCCGGUGGGGUAACC
rnacentral:rRNA from 1 species